GGGAACUACGAGCAUUAGCUUAAAACCCAAAGGACUUGGCGGUGCUUUAGAUCCCUCUAGAGGAGCCUGUUCUAGAACCGAUAACCCCCGUUAAACCUCACCUUCUCUUGUUCUCCCCGCCUAUAUACCGCCGUCGUCAGCAUACCCUGUGAAGGAACCAUAGUAAGCAAAAUUGGUAAAGCCCAAAACGCCAGGUCGAGGUGUAGCAUAUGAGAAGGGAAGAAAUGGGCUACAUUUCCUCAUGGAGGAAAUACGAAUUGUGCCAUCGCAACAGCACAUGAAGGAGGAUUUAGUAGUAAGCAGGAAGCAGAGUGUCCUGCUGAACCCGGCCCUGAAGCGCGCACACACCGCCCGUCACUCUCCCCAAGCCAACACCCUCAGUUUUUAUAAAACCUUAGCCGGCAAAGGGGAGGCAAGUCGUAACAUGGUAAGUGUACCGGAAGGUGCCAUUGGAAAAAU
rnacentral:rRNA from 1 species